UACGUAGGGUGCGAGCGUUAAUCGGAAUUACUGGGCGUAAAGCGUGCGCAGGCGGUCUGCUAAGACAGGUGUGAAAUCCCCGGGCUUAACCUGGGAACUGCGCUUGUUACUGGCAGGCUGGAGUAUGGCAGAGGGGGGUGGAAUUCCACGUGUAGCAGUGAAAUGCGUAGAGAUGUGGAGGAACACCGAUGGCGAAGGCAGCCCCCUGGGCUAACACUGACGCUCAUGCACGAAAGCGUGGGGAGCAAACAGG
rnacentral:rRNA from 1 species